GCUGAAAAACACACCCAUAUUCAGCAAGAGAAGAGAAAAAAAUGAUACACUUUGACUGUUUAGAGCACGGAAUGAGAAUCAGACAGAAGAGCAGAAAAUACUUCACUUUGAGAUUCAGAAUGGCCAGAAAUGGAGAAACAAAGUCAGAGAUGAAGUGGAUUCUUUAUUAAAAUGUGGAGCUGUAGAGUUAUUAUUGAGGGACAUUACAGCUAUAAACAGACUUGCUGGGACAGUAGGCGACACUAACAGGCUCAGGACCAGAAAGGAAAAGAAACUGUCCAUGUGUGUGUGUGUCUGUGUGUGUGUGUGUGUUAGCUGCCUCUGUGUUCACCUCCAGGACGACCCAGGGUUUGAGAGCGCGGUGGAGGUGGCUGACGUGGACAGAGCAUCAUCUAGAGCUGCGAUUGAGGGUGAUCAGAGACCCGAGGAACCGGAGACCGAGCCCACACAGAGGGAGUCAGAUCAAUCAAAGCCUUUAAAUGAAGAUGAUGCAGCCUCAAAGACGGCAGAAGAUACACAGAUAAAUCCUAAAGACUCAGUGACCGAAACACAGCCAAACCAAAGCCAUCCAGAUGAGGAGGAUUCAGAUGGAUCGAAGAUGGAUCCAGACGUAGGAAAUGCAAACAAUACAGUGGAAGAUCCUGAAGAAUCAAUGACCAAGACUAAGCCAGAUCCAGCAAGUCAUGCAGAGGAGGAGUUCCAACUUUCCACGGAUUCAGAAGGAUUGAAGCCUUCUGACAGGUUCAGUAUGGUUCCAGAGAAUCAAGAUGAUUUAACAGUAAAUCCAGAGAGAUCAGUGAUUGAGACACAGCCGAGUGAAAGCCAACCAGAAGAGGGGGAGGAUUCAAAACCUUUGGACGUAAAUGGUCCUGAAGAUCCUGAAGAAUCAGUGAUCCAGACACAUCUGAGCCAACCAGACCAGGAGGUCAGGGUAUUUCUUCUUUCAGUGCUUAGAAGUGGCACAAAGAUGGUGAAGAGUAGGACGAUGAUAGCAAAAGAGAGAGACAGAGUGAGAUAGUCAGAGGAAGAGCAGUUCUGAUUGUAGACGUUACUGACUUAGAAAACACAAAUGAAGAAACAAUGAUUUAAGAAGUUCUUUAUUUCCUUGGAAAUGAGUAAUAGGACGAUAGAGAGAGAAACAGACAGGAUGAAGACAGGAGGGUAGACACGUUACUGCAGAUCUAACAAACUAACACAAGGCAGAAGAAAGAGAAGAGAAAUUAGCAAUGUGGAUUUUAAACACUGAGCUGCUCUGUUAAAGAACAUGUCACUUCCUGCAGCAGGCGGAUGACGACCCUGCGCCAACAAUUUCACGUCCAGCAGAGAUUUUCGCCGAGCAGGAACCGGCCGAUCUGAAGCCUCCUGCAAUG